AUCUAUAGCUUUUUCAUUCUGAAAAACAAAUAUCGAAUUCUAAUGUAAAUAUAAUAAUGCCAAAUGCAAAAAAAAUGAACCGAAAAAGAUCUGAAGUAUUGAUUCAAUAUUGGAAAUACCAGGAUUUGCAACUCUACAGGAUACCGCCAACAGUAUUCAAGAGAUUUGAAGAUUCCAAGAGAUCCAGAGCUAUUCAAGAUUUGCUGCUCUACAGGAUACAGGAAUCAGAGUUUUCAAGGGGUUCGAAGGUUUCGAAAGAUCAACGACAAUUCAAGUACACCAAAAAAUUUAAAGAUCAAGAUUUCUUUUAUUAUAACAGCUAAGUAUAGAACUUAAUUUAUUAUAUUUGUAUCCAUUUGCAUUUUUUGUUGCCCUACCAUAGUGUGCUCUUUUACACACAAUGGAAGUGGAUGAAAAAAAAUUUGGCCGAUCCUGUUUCUAUUACACCUAAACCUCCUGACCCUUUUUCCACUGUUUCCUCAAUUCCCUCACGCGUUAAACUGUAUCCAGACGGAUCGACUGGUUCAUUUGUUGUUUAUUUCCGACCAAAAAUAGGGCCCAAAUCAAAGCCCUUAAACAUCAUUCAGAUAUCUAAAGAUUUAGAGUCUCA